CUCUUUCCCUUCACCCCGCUCUGCCGGUGGUUACCCAGUGCUUGGCUCUGAAAUACUGCACGCAUUUGGCUCCCAGGGCCCCUCUGCCUCCGUACACCAGCACCCUAUGCGCCUCCGCCGCCGCUGCCAUGCUCCGGCCGCCGCCCGCCCGGCUCC